ensembl:scaRNA
GGCCUCUCUCCCAUGGUGCUGUGGGGUUCCCUUCUCCUCAGCCAGAGCUGGGGGCCAAGAUUAGCCUUUGAGGGUUAUCGUCAGGGCUAGUUGGAGCUGGACAGCCUUGUUUUCCUACCUCAGACACUU